UGGGGAGGGAGAAGGGCGAGAUUAUUAGAUUUUUUCAAAAAACAGUUGCCUUUGAAUUACUCCGACUCUGAAAGACACCUCUCUCCUGUGUGUGCCUGUGUGUGUGUGUGUGUGUUUCUUGUAAAUAUAUGCGAAUGGUGGGUGCUCGUGUCAGUCAUUUACAGGGGCAGUUUAUUGAUGUUGAAUCGCCUGUUCGGUUGGUGAAAAGGUCGAGUGACAGUAAGGAUGGAAUGAGAGGGAGAGAGGGAGAGAGAGGGAGAGGGGAGGGGAAAGGGGGCAGGUGGUGGUGGGUCGGGAGUUUACCGGUUUGAGCUUUUUGCCGUUGGCCUCCCGGGCUCGGAGCCUCUGCAGCAGCUCUUUGACCGUGGUCUUCACGCGGACGCCCUGGUACACCCUCGUCUUACCUGCAUGGGAGAAGAGAACAGCAUGGCGCCCAUGCUUACAAAGGAGAAGACAAUAACAGACAACGACUCCGCUCUUCUCCAGCCCCACGCUCCUCAGGCCCCUCCUCCAUCCCCCGCCAUCAACGUGCUUUCUUCCCUUAUGCUCAAAACAUUAAAAAAAAAAAAAAAGAAAUGUCCCGCAUCACUUUUUUCUUCUUCCACUCUAACUCUCCACGACAUGACAGUGUCGCUCCAAUGUCCCCGACGCAAUGUUGAAUGCCAGACUUUUUUUUUUUAAGUUGGCAAACUUUGGUAACACAAACAGCAUGUUAUAAUAAACAAUAUAUUGAUUGAACUAUGUUUGGUGAUUCAGUGUCCACAGUUUUGUUUGAAUAAUCUGUGCGUAAAAGCGCAUUAUCAGCGCCCAACGCGCGCCUUGACUCUGGGUACUUUUCGGCCGCUUGCCCCCGUCUCAGCCCCCCACAGGGCUCCCGACGGGGCUCGCUCUUCGCGGCAGGGCUCGGCGUCUCCCAUUACGCCGUCAGCCGGCUCGUUUGCUGCUCCCUGUGCGUUCGCGUGUGUGUUCUGCGCUCACGAGCCUCGGCGUCCGGACGAGGAACAAAAAAAGGAAAAGCGGUACACAAUGCGCCACCGAGAAAAAGCUGCAAUGCAAAAAAAAGCUGACAUCCUGAUGAAAAUCCGACGUGAAAACUCACCAGACAUGAUGGCAGAGGUGAAGAGAGGCUCCCUGGAGAAGACCUGUGGGACUCCACAACGUCCUUUUCUGCCUCAGCUUAAUGGCCAAGAACGAAAAUUGUGCAAAAGUCUCCAAAAAUCUAAACACAAAUGUGUUCCAGCCGAGUCAGAGCAUACAGCAAUAUUGUAAUAUAGCUGUGGACAUAUUAGUUUGAGAUUUUCUGCCUCCAUGCCUACUAUUUAAAACCCCUAGAACUCAUUGAUUUGACAAUGAUUUGAUUGCGCGUUACUUUCAAUUUGAAUAUUCAGAGGCAACCGAGUUAUAUCGAUUUUUCAGCAAAAAUCAUCACGCAUGGACACUAUAUAGGCUCCACUUUAAUGUAAUAUAUCAGUAUUUCACACCUUGACCGAAAAGAAACCAUACUUUUAUUAAUUUUAUCCUCCUUUUGCAAUAUCAGAGCAUCACACCCCCCUCAUUAGGCACUACAGCACUGUGUGCAUUUGCGCAGCUUUAACAGCGCAAAUGCACCUUAUUUGUGCGCACACGCGUGUGCCGGGGUCCCCCUGCGUGUCGGGGACAUUUAGAAACGCAAUUUUAAACUUUAUUUCAGAGAAUAACGCCAAAAAGUGGUGAAGAAGUGGGCGUGGCAAAGGACAGUAGCCAUCUUUGGCACUGCAGGCCCUGAGCUCCACUGCAGCAAGUGCUCGUGAGCACUCACCUGCCGAGGGGCUGCGCUGGACGAGGGGGGGAACGACAGGUCCGCAGCUCCUCCGACGUUCACUCUGAUCAAUGUUUAGUCACCGAACAGACACAUUAAUCCCCACUGCUGUGGAUAAUUUCUACACUUUGUCAAUCGCAUGUCUGUAGAUAAGUAAUAACGCCUCCAUAAACCGGCACCGAAUCACUUCCAAUUUGUCAUGGUUAAACAAAACGGGAACAUCUACAAUUGUAUCAACGUGUUUGUGAUUUAGUCAUGUCAUUCAUAUAAAUUUAUAGAAUUUACGAUUUUUUUAAAGAACUAUAUACCAGACCGCAACAAUACACAUGGUCAUCUAUAAAAUAUUACAGUUAACCUUUAUGAAAAAAAAAAUAUAUGAUGUGGUCCGCAAUAGAUAAGUGACUUUAUGAUCAUAAAAUUACAGCAAAUUAAAAACUUUUUAAAAAAAUGAUUUAUUUAUUUAUUUAUUGGAAGAACUUUCUGCGCACCAUGCAGACCGUAUUGCGGUAAGCCUUUAGUAUUUGUUUUUAUAACGUGGUCCGCACGAGAUAAAUGACUUAAUGAUCAGAAAUUACAGCAAAUUACAAACAUUAAAAAAAAAUAAAUAUAAUUUUAUCUAACUUAUUCAACCACCUGUGGACACCUGGAGCUACUGUCUCUCUCUGGCGGGUCAAAGGCUCCUCAAAUAAGUCAUGGUGUGUUUAAGUUCGCUGUAACUGUGAUUAUUCUUAUGAAUGAAUACCCACGGUAAACGUGAUCAAUGUCAUCAGUUGGUCGUGGUAACAUCCACACUCCAUGAGGGAAAAAUGCAACACGGUUGACCGGCAUCGCAUGUCUGUUGUUCACAUUCCUACUGCUGUUUUUUUUUUGGGGGGGGGGGGGUCACAUCAAGCACUUUUCACAGAGCUCUCCGCGCAUCGCGCGCGCACCGGGCUCCCUCAGCCCUGCUCUCUGCUCGCCAUUACGGACACGUCGGCCUCCCUCCGUGCGCCCGCAGCUCGGCGGCUCCUCUCCUCUCCGCCCGCUGCGGCGGCAUUGCGCGGGCGCCACCUAGUGCUCAAAGAGAAGCACGUCGUUACGCUGGAACAUUUUGGCGUAGUAGGAAAUUUGUGGAAAAAAUUGAACCCCUCUCUCUUUCUUUAUGAAGCCAUAAUAAAGUGAGCCUGAGUGUUA